rnacentral:rRNA from 1 species
CCUACGGGAGGCAGCAGUGGGGAAUAUUGCACAAUGGGCGCAAGCCUGAUGCAGCGACGCCGCGUGAGGGAUGACGGCCUUCGGGUUGUAAACCUCUUUCAGUAGGGAAGAAGCGAAAGUGACGGUACCUGCAGAAGAAGCGCCGGCUAACUACGUGCCAGCAGCCGCGGUAAUACGUAGGGCGCAAGCGUUAUCCGGAAUUAUUGGGCGUAAAGAGCUCGUAGGCGGUUUGUCGCGUCUGCCGUGAAAGUCCGGGGCUCAACUCCGGAUCUGCGGUGGGUACGGGCAGACUAGAGUGAUGUAGGGGAGACUGGAAUUCCUGGUGUAGCGGUGAAAUGCGCAGAUAUCAGGAGGAACACCGAUGGCGAAGGCAGGUCUCUGGGCAUUAACUGACGCUGAGGAGCGAAAGCAUGGGGAGCGAACAGGAUUAGAUACCCUGGUAGUCCAUGCCGUAAACGUUGGGCACUAGGUGUGGGGGACAUUCCACGUUUUCCGCGCCGUAGCUAACGCAUUAAGUGCCCCGCCUGGGGAGUACGGCCGCAAGGCAAAACUCAAAUGAAUUGACGG